AGAUGUGAGGGUAAUCUGGUUGUGACAUCUGUCACCCCAUUGAUCACCAGGGUUGAUUCAGCUGAUCUGGCUGGCUAGGUGGGGAUCCCCUUCCUCCCGCAAUGCUCCAUGUGCAUCCCUCCUGAAGCUGUGUGCUCAGGUGAAGAGGACAACCAUCCCCGAUAGAGGAGACCAUUCCUUGGUCAAGAGUAUACAAGUAGCUGCACUACCCUGCUAGAUCUGCCAAAGACUGAGAUGUUGGUGUAUCUUCAAGUCAGUCCCCAGUCCUUUGGUGCUAGGGUGUCAUGACAUUAUUACCCCAUAACUUCCCAAAAUUGUUACAGAAGUGAGAACAACUGAUU
rnacentral:snRNA from 1 species